CAUAACCUAUCCUAUAUAACUGGGUUCUGCUCUAGGUGGCAACACAUAGGGCACAGUGGACAAAGGGACACACAAAUGCCAAGCUGUCCUGUCUCCUUCCAGUGUAGUCAAGGUUCUCCAGAGAAGAAAAACCCACAGGCCCGUAUUGUCUUGAUUUCUCCAUAUUUUUUUGCUCCUCCUGCUUUGUGCCUGUGGUUCAAGGUGUGAGUUCACAGCCUCCUGUCACCAUGCCUGUUGCCUCCAUGCCUGCUGCCUGCUACCUGCCACCUGGCGCCUGCUGCCUGUGCCAUGCUUCCUUGCAAUUAUGGACUCCAAACCUCUGUAACCACAAACCAAAAUAAACUUUUCUGAGUUGUCUUAGUCACGGUAUUGUAGCACAGCAACAGAAAAGUAAUUAAUACACCCUCUCAAUAGAGCCAUGCUCAGAAACAAACAAAAAGUCUUUAUCACAUGGGCCUAGG
rnacentral:lncRNA from 1 species